CUGCAGCUCAAGUGGUGGCCGCUAUUAUUGGGCCUAAAACGUCCGUAGCCGGCUAAGUAAAUGCCUGGGUAAAUCGUGUGGCUUAACCAUACGAAUUCCGGGUAGACUAUUUAGCUUGGGACCGGAAGAAGUUAGAGGUACUCCUGGGGUAGGGGUGAAAUCCUGUAAUCCUGGGGGGACCACCAGUGGCGAAGGCGUCUAACUAGGACGGGUCUGACGGUGAGGGACGAAGCCCUGGGGCGCAAACCGGAUUAGAUACCCGAGUAGUCC
rnacentral:rRNA from 1 species